UACGGAGGGGACUAGCGUUGUUCGGAAUUACUGGGCGUAAAGCGCACGUAGGCGGAUUUGUAAGUCAGGGGUUAAAUCCCGGGGCUCAACCUCGGAACUGCCUUUGAUACUGCGAAUCUCGAGUCCGGAAGAGGUGAGUGGAAUUCCUAGUGUAGAGGUGAAAUUCGUAGAUAUUCGGAGGAACACCAGUGGCGAAGGCGGCUCACUGGCUCGAUACUGACGCUGAGGUGCGAAAGCGUGGGGAGCAAACAGG
rnacentral:rRNA from 1 species